rnacentral:rRNA from 1 species
UACGUAGGGUGCGAGCGUUAAUCGGAAUUACUGGGCGUAAAGCGUGCGCAGGCGGUCCGCAAAGUCUGAUGUGAAAGCCCCGGGCUCAACCUGGGAACUGCAUUGGAAACUAACGGGCUCGAGUGUGGCAGAGGGGGGUGGAAUUCCACGUGUAGCAGUGAAAUGCGUAGAUAUCUGGAGGAACACCGGUGGCGAAGGCGGCGUUCUGGACUGCUACUGACACUGAGGAACGAAAGCCAGGGGAGCAAACGGG